rnacentral:rRNA from 1 species
AUGGCUCGUGGCGAUCAUCAAAAUGAUGAUGAUGAUUUCAUGGAUCCACCACAGCGUAAUCGGGCAACUGGACGGAGAAAAGAGGGUGAUGAGAAGAAGAAACGUAUUCGCAAUAGAGCCUCCCAAGAACGACUGACUGUGUUGACUGACAAAUUCACCGACGAUCAGAAGGGGGCUGCUGCUGAGAUGGGUACGCAGUCUAUGAUGGAUGUCUGGUGCACGAACCUUGUCAACCCUGUAUGCGACUGGCUUGGUGAGAUCUACGACCCCGCCUCCAGGGAAUUCGUGAUUCCGGGACGUGGAAGACUACCGUUGAAUGAGGAAUCCAUGUUCUGCACUUUGGGUGUGCCUCAUGGACAUAUGAAAGUCCCGUACGAGGCCAUGACGACGCAUGGAGAUGUUUUCAAGAUGAAGCUACUCAUGUACCUCAUCUCAACUGUUUUCGCUCCGACCACCUCUCUUCGCCCAAGCAACAAAUGCUUCCCCAUCCUACGGAUCUGGGAAAUGUGA